rnacentral:rRNA from 1 species
CCUACGGGAGGCAGCAGUGGGGAAUAUUGGACAAUGGGGGCAACCCUGAUCCAGCCAUGCCGCGUGUGUGAAGAAGGCCCUCGGGUUGUAAAGCACUUUCAGUGAGGAAGAACGCCUGGUGGUUAAUACCCAUCAGGAAAGACAUCACUCACAGAAGAAGCACCGGCUAACUCCGUGCCAGCAGCCGCGGUAAUGCGGAGGGUGCGAGCGUUAAUCGGAAUUACUGGGCGUAAAGCGCGCGUAGGUGGCUUGAUAAGCCGGUUGUGAAAGCCCCGGGCUCAACCUGGGAACGGCAUCCGGAACUGUCAAGCUAGAGUGCAGGAGAGGAAGGUAGAAUUCCCGGUGUAGCGGUGAAAUGCGUAGAGAUCGGGAGGAAUACCAGUGGCGAAGGCGGCCUUCUGGACUGACACUGACACUGAGGUGCGAAAGCGUGGGUAGCAAACAGGAUUAGAUACCCGUGUAGUC